rnacentral:rRNA from 1 species
UACAGAGGUCUCAAGCGUUGUUCGGAUUCAUUGGGCGUAAAGGGUGCGUAGGCGGCGCGGUAAGUCGGGUGUGAAAUCUCGGAGCUUAACUCCGAAACUGCAUUCGAUACUGCCGUGCUUGAGGACUGGAGAGGAGACUGGAAUUUACGGUGUAGCGGUGAAGUGCGUAGAUAUCGUAAGGAAGACCAGUGGCGAAGGCGGGUCUCUGGACAGUUCCUGACGCUGAGGCACGAAGGCCAGGGGAGCAAACGGG